rnacentral:lncRNA from 1 species
GUGGCUGGUUCUCAACUCAUGCCUUCCUUCCCUGGCCACCCAAUUAAAGGCACACGGCCUCUUCCAUUCACUCUCAAUCACAUCGCCCUGUGGCAUUCUCCUAGCAACACUUUUCACAGAAAGAAAGAAAUGCUCUCAUCUCUUUCUUUCUCUCAUUGUUAUUUACAUUCCCUGGCAUGUAAGCUUCUUAAGAGAAAGGCUCUUGUUUGUCUUGUCCCCCCACUGUGCACUGUGGUUCUAGCAGCUAACACAGCAUCUGACUUGGAGUGGCUGCCCAGUACGCAUUUGAAGAAUGAAUGAAUGGAAAGUGAAUGAGCGAAUGGCUGGAGAGUAGAAGACGUGAGGGAUGGGGAAAGAAGAAAGACUGGAGAAGUGGGCAGGUGCCAGGCCUGGAAGACUGUACGUGGUGCUAAGAGGCCCCUGAAGGUAAUGGAAAGCCAAUCAAGGGUUUCUAGGAGGAUGUGAUGAGGAUGCGAUAAGGUAACACUGUGUUAUGUUGUUGGGAAUCAGUGAAGGUGGGAAACCUGGAACCCUGGAGAAAAUGAGUGACAACCAAAUCCUACGUUUGUUUGGUGUUUCCCCAUCAUCCCUCAAAGGGUGUGUAAGAUAGUGAGCCAUGUAGAAUAAGUAAUUAAUUAAUGCUGCGGGUUAAUAAGGGGUAGAUGACUCUCAAUUGCUACAUGCAAGCUGUUAUUUUCUCAUUUAGAAAAAGGAUCUUGUGGCUCACUGUGGAAAAUCAUCUUCCAGAAAAAAGAAAGAGACAUGUAUGUCGGCUCUGUCUAGAAUAUUUUCUCUGAACCAGAAUCUCUUUCCGUAGGGUAGCUGCCCUUGGCAACUCUCGGGUUACAAGAAGCUGGGCAGGAGAUUCCUGUGACAUUUCAGCAGAGUCACGAGUGGGUGGGAUGGGGAAGCUCCGAGCUGCAAAAUAGCUUGCAGUGCCUCGGAGAGGUGGCGCUGGCUAGCCUGGGACUUCCAACAUACAGCCUACAUUGAUGGCCUGAGACUUGUGGCAAAAAAGACUUUCAAAAUCUAAUUUGCUCACAUACAUGAACACCUGCCAGGAAGGAAUUUGAGGCCUUUGUUCUAAACAUGGAAAAGCUGAGUUCAUUUGCCCCAGAGGGGGCACCUGCAGGGAAAAGGAAAAAUGGUUUUAACCCUUUCCUUGAGUCAGAAAAUGAGGCCACCAGAUUCUCCUUUCAUCCUUCAAGUAUCAGAAAGGUCUGUGCUGUGAAUUCCACAGAUGAGAUUCAUUGCAAGAUGUGAGGGCAGAGGAAAUCCAUGGAAAUGAAAUCCACAUUCAAACUGGAUGCAUGCGUUCAGCAACUGGAAGCUGAGUUCAUAUUUCAUUGCCCAACUACCCUGACCACUUGGGAAUCGCAGGUUUGGAAGGACCCACAGCCAUUCUGUGGAAAUGGAUCUGCUUUCAGGACCGAAUCUCAGACUUCUUGGGGAAGGUUUCAGUGGCUGCCUUUGCUGUGCAGACCUGGAGAUGGGUCUGAUGAUCGGACACCUGAAUUAUCUGUGUGGCUGAGUUUCAAGAAGACCUGCUGGGGUGAAAUGAAAAUGGUGCCUACUAGAAGCCCCAGUGGCUUUGCUGGUGGAGAUUUGCUCCUCCACUGGCUCUUCUUGUAGACACACGACUGCUACAGUAUCAAGGGUCUGAUGCAGACAUGACAAUGUCAAGAGGAAGAGGAGAGCCUCGCUCUUCCCAGGCUUUUGCUUUUAAGAGCAGAAAAACUUUCCCCAGAGUUCCACCAGCUCACUUCUCAUCUUACUUCUUUGGCCAGAACUGGCCCUUGUGCCCAUAUUGUCAGUCAAAUGCCGACAAAGGAAAGGGGCCACUAUGAGUGGUUUAGACUUGGAUUGGAUUUGUCCUUAUUGGAUUGUCCUUAAGUCCUUUGAAAAAGAAGUAUACAACAGAAUGAAAUCUUGACUCAGCUUUCAAGAAUAAAGAGGGGGAAAAUGCACACAUGCUCAAACAAUUUUGCGUCUAAUUUCGUGAACCUACUGAAGUUCGUCCAUAGAAACCCAGAGGACCAGGGCAUGAAGAACUUGUAAGCCAUGCCAUGGAAGGCAAGACUUCAUCCAGAGGGCAGUGAGGAUACUA